GAUGUUGCCAGGAGAAGAGCAGAAACGUACAAAUGGGUCCUGUGUGAAGUAACACAGCGCAGAAAGGGGCCUAUGUGAAGGACCACGAGAAUCAUUAAAAUAUAUGGUGAUCAAACAAAAACAAAAAAAAAAGAACAAUGUUAAAUGGCGAAUCAUUCUGCUCCAGGACGCAUCCCUCACACGACAGAGAGAACCUCUCGCGAGAAUUGAUGACUAUGUAUGUUGGUGGUGGGUGCACGGUAGGGAUACUUGAGAAAGGGGGCGUGACCUCCGAAACGUCGGAAGUGUCCGGCGCUCACUCAGCGGUUCCCCUUCGUGAGAGGAAGGUGUCUGUCCUCUGAACUCUCCGUGCCCGGAGAAGGGUGAAGAUUGGUCGGAGUUCACAUGGACGAUCGCGGAUGUCAGUGAGCACUUGUGGUGACUAUUUUUGUCAUUUGUCUAUGCUUAUUGCCUGAAGGCAGCUACUAAAGAAAGA